AUAUAUCAACCUCUUUAAAUUUUGAGAGUGUUUGGAUGUGGGGGUGUUAUUUUGCUGGCCUUCUCCAAGGUCAGCUCCCCUGAAAUGUAUUAGCGGAACAAUUUGUUGACCGUUCAUUGGUGUGAUAGCAUAUCUACGCUAUUGACGUGAAGCAAGUUCAGCUUAUAACAGUCCAUUGACUUGGACAAUUCUCUAUUUAUUA
rnacentral:misc_RNA from 2 species